UAUUCCUAGGGUUAAACCGCGUGCACCACCACCACCGUCUACUCAAGAAGCAUUGACAGCCUAUUUUCACCACCCUGGACACCUUCCAGCAAAGAAAACAGGAUACUAGACAAACCUACAGUUCACUAAAUUCAACAAUCCGAUCCGCGAUGCUAUGCAACUAGUUUACUACAAAUAAUUCUUGUGAUUUCAUUGUCAUUGUGUCCUAAACUGGGCUUUAAUAACUCACCUUGAUACUGGACUAAAUCUGCCCUUUCAAGUGUCUAUUAUUAUUUAUCUGAAGUUGUAAUUAGGAAUCAAGCCAAAAGGUAGUUCUGAAUUGUCAGUUUAAGAUGUUUUAGUCUUUGUUCAGUUUAGGCUUUUUGGAGAAAAAAAAUCACCUCCUGAAUCCCAGUUAUAAAAUCUUUAUUGCAGAAUUCAGACUCUAAUUACAUAUUCGGUCUAGUAUUCUUGGAGAAGAAAUCGCCUCUAGACUCUGAUAAGGUUUAAUUAAAAAGCUUUUCAGUUAACCCAUUAAAGGCCUAAGAAUUUAUCUAUUACAGAACUUUUAACUGCACCAAACUAGAUCUAUGUACAACAUCUGAACCAAAAUGCCUCUUUAUUGCUUGAACACGAGGGCGAAAAAAUACACAUAUUCUUAAGAGUACAGAAAAUUCGGAGUGUACAUAUAAUUCCAGUUGACAUGAAUGACUAACAUGGAUCUUAUGACGUAGCUGGACAACGUAGCUGGACAUAGGGGUGAGCAUCGGACGGUUUGGGCGGUUUGAAGGGUCUAAACCAAACCAAACCGAAAUAAUCGGUUUCUCAAAAUCUCAAUCCAAAACCAAACUAUUAUGUUUAAAAUCCAGACCAAACCAAUCCGUUUAAAAUGGUUCGGUUCGGUUCGGUUUGGUUUCGGUUUAAACCGUUUUUUAUAUGUAAAACAAAGUUAGCAACAAAAUUAAAUUUUAACUUGAAAAAUAAGGAAUGAAAAAUUGAAUUUAUAUUUUCUAUUUAAUCAUAUUUAAAGAGGAUCCAAGAAUAGAUUAGCUGGAUAGAUAAAAAGAGACGGAAGAAAAUAAAAAAAAAAUGUGAUUCGUAUACUUUUAUAAAAAUAUAAAUAAAAAGAAUGGAAACAUUAUACAUACAUCGAAAUUAAUAUAAUGUGAUUCGUAUACUUUUAUAAAAAUAUAAAUAAAAAGAAUGGAAACAUUAUACAUACAUCGAAAUUAAUAUCAUAAAAUAGAAUAAAUAAUAUUAUUAAAGAAAAUCUUUACUAGGAUACAUUUUAUAUGUUUAAGAUUUUACAUUUUUUCGUAGAUUAUAAUUUUAUUUUUAAUAAUACAUUAUUAGUACAUGUAUAUUAAUAUUUAAAUCUACACAUUCGGUUCGGUUCGGAUUUAUCGGUUGGUUUGGAGGUAAAAACCAAAACCAAACCAAAAUAAUUCGGUUUUUAUAAUUUGAAACCAUAACCAAACCAAACCGUUAUUAAACCGUUAAAUUCGGUUUGGACGGAUUGGAUCGGCCGAUUUCGGUCGGUUUGGAGAAUUUUUGCUCACCCCUAGCUGGACAUGAGAGCACGUCCUAUAGAUUAGCUAAAUGAACUCCUUCACUCAUAGAUGUAUCAAAAAAGAGGUACUUCCGUUGCCUAAAUCCCCAGCACAUCCUCAAAUCUUCUACCGAUUACCUAUUUUUUUAGUAACCUCUAGCAGUAAUCUAUUCAAUAUAUAUGAAUAAAAAAUUCAUCUCCCUCUUCUUUCUUUAUCUUUUCCCCACUUCUCUCUCAAAUUUAUUAUUUUGGAGUUGACACAGAUUACCUAAAUCACUAAAAAUCACUAAGAUUCAUUAUUUUGUAUUAUUAAUAAGUAACGAGAUAGGUAAUCUAUUGGACUUGCUUUAAACUAAUACUAACUUGUCCCACUCAUUUCUUACAGUAACAUUUUUCACGGCUUGACACGCAUUAAAGUGUGUGCCACAUCCCUGUCUCACAAUGUUAAGAAUUGAGAUAGACAGAGGCUGUAUAGUUCAGUACCCUCUUUGUAACGCUUCAAGGUAAAUAGCGGGACAUAACGGAUAAGGACAUGGUCUUUGUCGCAUUAUACCCGAGCCUCAGGCCCAGGGGUGACGAUUUCGGGUAACGGGUCGUGUUCGUGUCAGCAAUCGGGUCGAUUUCGGGUCAAGUUAAAAUCACUUAAAAUUGAAUAAAACUGAAAAUUGAAGUUAUUAGAAAUGAAAUUAUAAUUUCGGGUCAUCUCGGGUCCAUUUCGGGUCAAUCGGGUGAUUUUCGAGUCACUUUCGGGUUUCCGUCUCAAUAAAUCGGAUUUCAGGUUGGGUCGGGUUCGUGUCGGGUUUCGGGUCGUGUCUGAUGUUGCCACUCAGCUCUCAAAAAUGAAGUCACCGCCUCACUGGUCCCAUAUAACACUCAUCCAUGCAUACAGAAGAUUAUUAAUAUAAAACUCAAGAUUUCAAACUUUAAAGUAUUAGUGGAAGUUUGUUAGGCAAUUUAAGCACCUGCAGUAGUACCAGUGGCCAACUUGGUGCAUAUCGGCAUAUACAUAUCAGGAUCAUAUUGAAAUUUAUACUUAAUUAUUACAUGAUUCCCAUGCAUGCUCAAGACGUAUCAAUCAUUUGUCAUUUGUGAGUUGUGACUUCAACACUAAAUCCAGUUAGAAUUUACAUAGAUGGAGACAAGUGUGUGAAGAUAACAAAGGUUGUCAUUAAGGGCACAGCAUAAUAGGCUUUUAUUGUGUAAUAGUAUUUCUACUUUUAAAUUAAAAAAAAUAGUGGAUAUUAAUAAAUAAAUUUUAUAUUUUGAUUAUACUAAUGAAAUUAUAUGUUUGAUAAUUAUUUUUAUAGGGGUGUUAGCUGGUUUACUAAACAUGUUUCAUAUUCUGCUCACAUCCAAUCAACUACUACCCUCAUAUAUUUUACCUAUAUUAUUUACACGAGUCAGUCACUGUUUCUUCAUAAAACUACUUCCUAUUUUCAUUUAUAUAGUAAUUAAUAUUAUUACUGAAAUUUUCUUUAAACAAGCUUGUAAUCUUGUAACAAAUCUCUGGUCGAGGGGAGAUUAACUAGGUUUGUCUGUUUAUUUUCUGUCUCAGCAAAUUAGCCAAAAGAAACAUCUUUACGCACAUGCUCUAAUGAAGUACUGUAAAAAUUAGUCCCCGAUUGAAGCACAAGCCACUAUUACUAGAAUAGGGACAGCCAGUUCAGAAGCCUCAACCAGAAUCUAAACUGCUAUUUGGUAAAUCACCAGUUCCAGUCAUCCAUCAACAGCCAGAUAUGUUGAAGAAAAAACCUUCACAUUGGAAUCACAUGCCAAGUCCGGCCUCUGCACCUCCUGUGUAUACCAUCGAGCCACCGAAGCAUCCUGUCUAUCCAGGUAACGAUCCACCACCACCUGCUUGCAAGGCCUCGACUGCAUAUGAUUACCAAUAUGGACACCCUCCAGCAGAUGAAACUGGGAACUAGAUUAACCUACACUUAACUGAAUUUAACCAUCCUGUCCCGCCAUGCUAUGCAACCAGUUUACUAUUUCAGCACAAAAAUCAGCCAUGAAUGGAGGCAAUAAUUGUAUUUUAACUUUAUUUUAGCAACAAAACCAUUGUUUUGUGCCAGAAUAUAGUAAUAGCUACAAAUAUUUUUAACAAUGAAUUUGCUCUAAAGCAUUGAUUGAACCUAGUCAGUCCAAGGACUCGUUAUGGUAAAUAUUGAAUAUACAUUUUGUCUGUGAUAACAUUCAAUCUAAUGUACUUUGAGUUAUUAACCUAUAAGAGGUAACUUCUAAUAGCUAAAAAAUUCACAAAACUAAUUAGAAGAAUAUGCCGCAAAGUGAGAUAAAAUGCUUAGAUCAUUCUACUUGUUGGCUGGUCCGACCUGGAAACACCUCGUGUAACAGGAUUGCUAGAAUCCCUCCCCCCCUUGUGCCGAUAUCCCUUUCAAAGAUGACUUAGAGACUUCAUCAAUGACUUGUAAGCCACGGUUUUCAAUUCUUGUGUUGGCAGAGUCGAUGACUUCCUAUUCUCUCUUAUUUUCCAAAUGGUUUACUACUAGCUAGUGUCUUAGGUUGUGUUCACUUGGGUAGAAUGGAAUGGAGGGAAAAUUUAAUGAAUUUUAUACACUAAAAUGGGGUUGAUUAGAGAAAAUGUCUUUAAUUUUCAUUCCUUCGAUCAUUUCAUUCAUAUUAUUUUAACUAGAAUUUUAACCCACAUGUUUUGGAAAGAAUGCUCAUUUCAUCUUUACAUAUUUCCUUACAAUCUUUAUCAAAAGAAAUUAACACCCAUUCAUAUUUAGUCAUUAUUAGCUCUUGCUUUCUUCUUUCUCCAUAAAAUUUCUGUAUAAUUUUUCAUCCCAUUCGCCUCUCAUUCCAUUCUAUCCAAGUGAACACAGCCUUAUAGUCCAAUAUCUCAACUCCAAUGUACACCAAGACAUCCUCACUCGUUCAUCAACGUCAACCAAUAAUGACAGAUCUUUUGUUAAAAUCCAUACCUCUUCAUGAGAAAGAAAAACUAACAUUCAACAAUGUAGACUUGCAUCUAUUCAAGUCCUGUAGUGAUGACCAAGAAACGGUAUAAUAAGAAUGUGGCCAGCUUGAGUUGAUCUUAUAGCAUUGGAGACUACAGACGGGACCAGCAAAAAGAGGAAGCAGGCAAAACCCACUGGGGGUGCUCUAAGUCCAAAGUUUUCCAGCUUCUUCAAACCCCAAGACAAGUUCAUCCUGCUCAGGAAUUGAUAUCCACAAUUAUUACACAUAUAUUCUGUAGGCUUACAGGGAUGACCAAGACCUCCUUAUAAAACACAUCCACCCUAAAUGAUUAUACACCAUCCAAAACAAAACUACACCACAUGUCUGUCGACUACUUGCUUAGCCUACUCGUUUUGGGAGCAGUGGUUCUCACUGCUCCUUCCCUUGCUCUUCGUUAUCCGAAUCAUAAUCCCCAACCAAAGCACAAGCCAAUCUCUUUUUCUUUUUUUUUGCUAAAUAAAAUUUUAUAAGAAAACAGGGAGAAACAAGAUCUAGGGGCAUACCCCGCGGCAAGGACUUGAUACAAGCAUCAAAGUCAAAGAAAGGAAAUCUGCUAAAGACAGGAAUCCACUGAGGGAAACAGCUAAACAACAAGAACUAAAAAAAGACUAGCCCAGGAACAAUACACAAACUACAAAAACUACAAUUGAAACUGAGCAUAAGGCAAACUAGUAAAUAAGACAUAAGAAAGAUGGGUCCCGAUGCACCCAUUUUCUAAAUCAGAGCACCAACCGCCACUUCAUAAACCACCACCAGAACACAAACUGUUGUUUCAUAAACCACCAGUUCCAUUGAGUCCUCAACAUCAAGAAACGUCAGAGAAAAAGCCAAUACGCUGGAAUCUCAGGCCAAGUCCCGCCUCUGCACCUCCCCUUCAUUUAAGUUCUGUUCCACCACCGCCCUCAUCUGUCAGCAUGAAUAAUCACCACCCUUGACACAAUCCGCAGAGAAUAAAAUCCACCAGAGGCAGAGCUCAGAGGUAGCACAGGGUGACCUAUCAUAUAGGAACGGAAAUAUGCAACCUCACUAUGAUUAUGAUUUCGUUGUCUGUAAACUUCUUUUACAAAGUAUCUUAUUCCCCGUUUAGGGAUUGAAUAAUGAUGUUUGAAUUUUGUUAUCAUCAGAUAUCUUUUAUAUUUAUUAGAAUUUCAUUAAUUGUUUAUAAGGGGUUCAUUCUCAGAAAUGUCACAUAGAUAUCCCAUGUCUGUGAUCCACCAUACCAAGUUGCAACUAGUUUACUAUAUAAGCUUGCUGUUUCAGUUAUUAACUUAUAAGAGAUGAAGUAUAGAAACUAGAAAACACCAUAAAACAAAUUAAAAGACUAUGCAUGAAGUGAAUAUAACAGAGCUCACCGUCCGGAUUGUAAUACUUACAAAAAUUUAACUCCCUCGUAUACUGAAGGAUGUGGACUGUUGCUUCGGUUUGGCUAACUCCAAAUUGGAUCAGGUUUUACAUUUUUUGUAGGAAAGUUAUUCAUCAAAAACUGUAUUCUACUUUAUAUUUUUACUUUUUUUUAAGCUACUCAAUAUUCUUAUUAUCUUCAGAAAUUGUGAUGAUAUAUAAACAGACUAAUCUUAUGUAAUACGGCAGGAACACCUGUGGCUACUUAAAAGUUGUCACAUUUCUUCCAUUCCUAUCCUUUUUUCUUCUUUUCUCAACGGUUUACAACUUGGUAAGCCUUAAAGUCCAAUGCUUGUAGCUCCAGUAGACUCCAAGACAACCCCGUCCCUUGAAAACCUUUACUUAGAUAGCGAAAUUAGUGUCCACUGUUGUACAUUCUACGCCAAUAGUUAUGACCAAGAACAUCUAUAAAAACCAGUGUUCUAAAAGUCGGCGAUUAAUCGGGAUUAAUCGCCGAUUAAUCGCUGUUCGGUCGGCCACCGUCUCGAUUAAGCGUUAAUCGGUGAAAAAAUCGUUUUUUUAGGAAAUCGGCCAAAAUCGGGAUUAAUCGGUCAGAAGUCGGGAUUAAUCGGAAAAAGUCGGUCAAAAAUCGGUGAAUUUAAAAAAAUUAAAAUAAAAAGAAUUUUUUUUUAAAACUUUAAAUUUAAUUACCUUGAUUCUUUUAAUAUUAGCUUCUAAACUAUAAUUACAUAAAUUUGCAAUAUCUUCUUUCGCAGAAUUAAUUAAAUUCAAGUUUAUAUAUGAGAUGACUGGACUUGUAUAUGUAUAUCAGUGUUCUAAAAAUCGCCGAGUCGGCCGAGUACUCAUUCCGAGUACUCGUUUUUUACCCCUCGUCCGAUCCGAGUUCCGAGUAAUCGGGUUCAAAAUCGAUUUAUUAAAAAAUAGGUCAAAACUCGGUUUGACUCCGAGUACUCGAGGUCAAAUCCGAGUUUGACUUAUCAAUUUUUUUAUUGUUUUAUUUGAAAAUUAUUUCAAAAGAGACUAAACGUAAAUUUAUAUAUGUUUUAUUCUUUUUUUGCAAAGUAUUGACAUUAAUUAGACAGUAUAUGUGUUUUAUCAUUAAAACUUGUGAAUGAUUAUUAUGUCAAAAACUAUCAAACAAGUAACUUUUAUUUGAACUUCAUUAUAACAGUUGUGUUAUUAAAAUAUUAAUAUUAUUAGAUAAUUUUAUUAUUAAUCAGUCUAUAACUAUAUACGAGAGAAAAAAUUAAUUAAAAAAAGCCCGAUUAGUUAUCCGAUAACUCAUUCCGAGUACUCUCCCGAGUUCCGAGUACUCAUUUUUCCGGAACCAAAUCGAGUUGGACCGAGUUCCGAUUUUUACAACAUUGAUGUAUAUAAAGGCAUGUUUUGUGUUAUAAAAAAUCAUUAAUUUUUUGAUUUUAUAUGACUAUAAAUUUAUACUAUAUAUAAUUAUAUUAAUAUAUAUUAUUUAAAAAAUAAUAUUAAAUUGAUUACGAUUAAUGAUCCGAUUAAUCACUCCGAUUAAUCUCCGAUUAUCCGAUUAAUCGCUAGACGGUGCCUUCACCGACUAAGUCCGAUUCCCGCUUUUUACAACACUGAUAAAAACCAUCAAUACGUCUUUCUAUGAUCAAUAUCCAAAUCCAAAUUCACCAUAAUAGAUGUUUAUAAUCAACUGCUUUAACGUGGUACUCAUUUUGGGUGCAGUUGUUCUGACUGCUCCCUCCCUUGCUCUUCGCUAUCCAAAUCAUAAUCCACAUUCAGUGAACAAGCUGAUAUCACCAGGGUACAAACCACAAGUUCAUAAGCUACCACUAGGAUACAAACUACUAGUUCGUGAACCACCAGUCCCAGUCAUUCCUCAACAACCAGGACCAUUGGAGAAGAUACCAUAUUCAGAAAAAUGUGUAAAUUUUAAAUUCCAGGCCUGUAGUGAUGAGCAAGGAUUCCUAUAGAAGUCAUCCAGCAGUCUACAUUACAACAUCUAUCCUCCAAUGCACCCAAAUGUUCCUCAACUUCUUGAUCCUAUUCCACAUUUUUGGAAAAAUGGUUUUCAACAUAGCACGAAUGAAAUUGUGAAGCUAAGGCUUUACAUGAUUACAUUUCUUCAUUAAGUUCAUAAUUUUGAGUAGAAAAUAGAACCUGAAGAAUGACAUGCAUAUAAAAUGAAUCUAGCAAGUCAAACUCUUGGGUGCUCAGGUUGGGUAGUUAAGAAUUAUCAGACCUGUAUUCGAGCUCCAAUUGAAUCAAGCCAAAAAAAAAAAGGUAUAUGAUAACUAAGAACUUCUGUAAAACCCUUCUACUCUAAACGAUCAUACACACACUCUAAAACCAAAUACACUACUUGCACCUACUAUUACCAGUGUAUGGACCGCCAGUCCAUACACUACCAUAACGCUCCUGUGAUCACUUCGCAGUUGGUAUUAUGUCUUGUACAUCAUCACAAAUUGCUAAAAUCUAGAAAACACAGCAGGAACAAUGUGAUCACUACUAAAGUUGUCACAUUUUCCCCAUUCCAAUUCUAUUUACUGGAUGGUUUACAACUCUUAAGGCCUUAAAGUCCAAUUUUUGUAGCUCGAAUAGGCUCAGACAAUCCCAUCCUGUUCAUGGUCACAAAGAAAUAUCCACUGCUCUAUAUUCUAGGCCUAUAGCCGAUGACCAAGAACUAGAAAUUCUAUAAAAGACAUCCACUGCUCAUUUUUUGAUCAUAUCGAAACCAAAAUACAUCAAAAUUGAUGGUAAUGAUCAACUACUUAAACCUAGUGCUCAUUGUAGGAGCAGUGGUUCUGACUGCUCGUUCCCUUCCCCUUCGCUAUCCAGAUAACCGUCCCCAAAUGAAGCACAAUCCAGUAUCACUAGAAUAUGGACAGCGAGUUCAUAAGCCACAACCAGAAUCUAAACUGCUGUUUGGUAAAGCACCAGUUCCAGCCAUUCAUCAACAUCCAGAUAUGUUGAAGAAAAAACCUUCACAUUGGAAUCACAUGCCAAGUCCGGCCUCUGCAACUCCUGUGUAUACCAUCGAGCCACCAAAGCAUCCUGUUUAUCCAGGUAAUGAGCCACCACCACCUGCUUGCAAGGCCUCGACUGCGUAUGAUUACCAUUAUGGACACCCUCCGGCAGAUGAAACUGGGAACUAGAUUAACCUACACUUAACUGAAUUUAACCAUCCUGUCCCACCAUGCUAUGCAACCAGUUUACUAUAUCAGCACAAAAAUCAGCCAUGAAUGGAGGCAAUAAUUGUAUUUUAACUGUAUUUUAGCAACAAAAACCAUUGUUUUGUGCCAGAAUAUAGUAAUAGCUGCAAAUGUAUUUAACUAUGAAUUUGCUCUUAAGCAUUGAUUGAACCUAGUCAGUCCAAGGCUUAGUUAUGUUAAAUAUUGAUCACACACUUUGGCUGUGAUAACAUUCAAUCUAAUGUACUUUGAGUUAAUAACCAACAAGAGGUAACAUCUAAUAGCUAAAACAAAUCACAAAACUAUUGAGAAGAAUAUGCAGCAAAGUGAGAUAAAACGAGAGCUUAUAGUCAGAAGAUCGUAUAAUCACCAGGCUGCAAAUAAUUAAAGGCUCAAGUCCAGACAGGAUCAUUCUACUUAUUGGCUCAAUAGAAGACAGGACCAUUCUUCUUAUUGGCUGGUCCCGUGGUCCUGCCUGAAAACACCCCAUGUGACAUAAUUGCUACAGACCGUCCCCCCUUAUGUUGAUAUCCCUAUCAAAAAUGAGUUAAGAGACUUCAUCAACGACUUGUAAGCUGUGGUCUUCAAUUCUUGCGUUGACAGAGUCGAUGACUUCCUAUUCUCUCUUAUUUUCCAAAUGGUUUACAACUAGCGAGUAAGUCUUAAAGUCCAAUAUCUCAACUCCAAUGUACACCAAGACAUCCUCAAUCAACCAAUAAAGACAGGUCUUUUGUUAAAAUCCACACCUCUACAUGUGGAAGAAAAAACUAACAUUCAACAAUGUAGACUUGCAUCUAUUAAGUGCUGUAGUGAUGACCAAGACCUCGUAUAAAAAGCCAUCCUAUAGUCUACAAGGUAACACGACAUUCAUCUCAAGAUACACCAAAAUGUCUCUCAUCUACUUGAACUUGCUCCUCAUUUUCGGAGUAUUGGUUCUCAAUUCCCCUUCCCUUGCAAUUCGCUAUCCAAAUCACAAACCCUCACCAGAGUACGGACGGUUAGUACACAAGCCACCACCAAAAUACAAUCUGCAUUUCCACACACCAGCAGUCCCAGUCAUUCCACAACCUUCAGAAACGUUUAAGACAAAACCAGUCGGGAAUAACAGGCCAAGUCCGGCUUCUAGACCUCCCGUGUCUCAUAUUCCUAGUGUUAAACCGCGUGCACCGCCACCACCGUCUACUCAAGAAGCAUUGACAGCCUAUUUUCACCACCCUGGACUCCUUCCAGAGGAGAAAACAGGAAACUAGACAAACCUACACUUCAUUAAAUUGCAACUUGUUUAUUGAAAUCAGAGUUUCUGAUUCCAUGUUCUACCUUAUAUUUAUCAAAUAUUCUCCUUUGUAGAUCAACGCUCCUGAGGUCGCUAGUAUCAAGUCUUGGUAACCAAGAAUAAGUCCUAUAUAUCCAGUAUUCUAGACGUUCUUUCUUUUAUUUGCCUAUAAAAAUAGAUUAUACACACUCUUGCACUUGUGAAUAAAACUAUCUGCUCCAUUGUAUAUGUAUCUCAGAAUGUCACCUUAGUUCAUCAUGAAUAACAAAAAACUACAACUAAAACCUUGCUUGUCAAAGUCUCAAAGAACAAGGUGCUCUUUCACACAACUAUACGCACAAAUUAACAUUAAAUAACAUUUACAGAAGCUUGUGAUUUCAUUGUCAUUGUGUCCUACCUGGGCUUUAAUAACUCGCCUUGCUCCUGGACUAAAUCUGCCCUUUCAAGUGUCUAUGUAUCUGAAGUUGUAUUUAGGAAUCAAGCCAAAAGGUAGCUCUGAACUGUCAAUGUAAGAUGUUAUGUAGGAAUGCAUUGUCUUAGUCUUUGAUUCAGUUCAGGCUUUUUGGAGAAAAAAUCACCUUUGAAUCCCAGUUAUAAAAUCUUUCUUGCAGAAUUCAGACUAUAAUUACAUAUCCGGUCUGGUAUUCUUGGAGAAGAAAUCGUCGCCUCUAGACUCUAAUCAGCCUCUAGAUUUAUGUACAACAUCUGAACCAAAAUGCCUCUUUAUUGCUUGAACUGACGAGGGCGAAAAAAUACACAUAUUCUUAAGAGUACAGAAAAUUCGGAGUGUACAUAUAAUUCCAGUUGACAUGGAUGACUAACAUAGAUCUUAUGACGUAGCUAAACAAUGUAGCUGGACAUAAGAGCACGUCUAAUAGGUUAGCUAAAUGAACUCCUUAACUCAUAGAUGUCUAAAAAAAGAGGUACUCUCAUUCCCUAAAUCACCAGCACAUCCUCAAAUCUUCUGCUCAUUACCUAUUUUUUAGUAACCUCUAGCAGUUAUCUAUUCAACAUUUAUAAAUAAAAAAUUCAUCUCCUUAUUCUUUCGUUAUCCUUUCCCCACUUCUCUCUCAAAUUUAUUAUUAAAAUAAACUAUAUAAUACAUCCUACUACUCUUUUUGCCACUUCUUACCAGGGCAUACCCUAAGAGUUCAUGCCUAAUUACACUCCAUGCCACUGAGUCAAAUAUUGACUGUCCAAAACUUUUCACUGCUUUACUACACGUCAAACGACAGAGUCGAUGACUUCCUAUUCUCUCUUAUUUUCCAAAUGGUUUACAACUAGCGAGUAAGUCUUAAAGUCCAAUAUCUCAACUCCAAUGUACACCAAGACAUCCUCAAUCAACCAAUAAAGACAGGUCUUUUGUUAAAAUCCACACCUCUACAUGUGGAAGAAAAAACUAACAUUCAACAAUGUAGACUUGCAUCUAUUAAGUGCUGUAGUGAUGACCAAGACCUCGUAUAAAAAGCCAUCCUAUAGUCUACAAGGUAACACGACAUUCAUCUCAAGAUACACCAAAAUGUCUCUCAUCUACUUGAACUUGCUCCUCAUUUUCGGAGUAUUGGUUCUCAAUUCCCCUUCCCUUGCAAUUCGCUAUCCAAAUCACAAACCCUCACCAGAGUACGGACGGUUAGUACACAAGCCACCACCAAAAUACAAUCUGCAUUUCCACACACCAGCAGUCCCAGUCAUUCCACAACCUUCAGAAACGUUUAAGACAAAACCAGUCGGGAAUAACAGGCCAAGUCCGGCUUCUAGACCUCCCGUGUCUCAUAUUCCUAGUGUUAAACCGCGUGCACCGCCACCACCGUCUACUCAAGAAGCAUUGACAGCCUAUUUUCACCACCCUGGACUCCUUCCAGAGGAGAAAACAGGAAACUAGACAAACCUACACUUCAUUAAAUUGCAACUUGUUUAUUGAAAUCAGAGUUUCUGAUUCCAUGUUCUACCUUAUAUUUAUCAAAUAUUCUCCUUUGUAGAUCAACGCUCCUGAGGUCGCUAGUAUCAAGUCUUGGUAACCAAGAAUAAGUCCUAUAUAUCCAGUAUUCUAGACGUUCUUUCUUUUAUUUGCCUAUAAAAAUAGAUUAUACACACUCUUGCACUUGUGAAUAAAACUAUCUGCUCCAUUGUAUAUGUAUCUCAGAAUGUCACCUUAGUUCAUCAUGAAUAACAAAAAACUACAACUAAAACCUUGCUUGUCAAAGUCUCAAAGAACAAGGUGCUCUUUCACACAACUAUACGCACAAAUUAACAUUAAAUAACAUUUACAGAAGC
rnacentral:lncRNA from 1 species